AUUGAACGCUGGCGGCAUGCCUUACACAUGCAAAGUCGAACGGCAGCACGGGAGCAAUCCUGGUGGCGAGUGGCGAACGGGUGAGUAAUAUAUCGGAACGUGCCCAGUCGUGGGGGGAUAACGUAGCGAAAGCUACGCUAAUACCGCAUACGAUCUAUGGAUGAAAGCGGGGGAUCGCAAGACCUCGCGCGAUUGGAGCGGCCGAUAUCAGAUUAGGUAGUUAGUGAGGUAAAGGCUCACCAAGCCGACGAUCUGUAGCUGGUCUGAGAGGACGACCAGCCACACUGGGACUGAGACACGGCCCAGACUCCUACGGGAGGCAGCAGUGGGGAAUUUUGGACAAUGGGCGCAAGCCUGAUCCAGCAAUGCCGCGUGCAGGAUGAAGGCCUUCGGGUUGUAAACUGCUUUUGUACGGAACGAAACGGUGAGCUCUAAUACAGUUUGCUAAUGACGGUACCGCAAGAAUAAGCACCGGCUAACUACGUG
rnacentral:rRNA from 1 species